rnacentral:rRNA from 1 species
UACAGAGGUCCCAAGCGUUGUUCGGAUUCACUGGGCGUAAAGGGUGCGUAGGCGGUCGGGUAAGUCUGGCGUGAAAUCUCCAAGCCUAACUUGGAAACUGCGUUGGAUACUAUCCGGCUCGAGGAAUGGAGGGGAGACUGGAAUACUUGGUGUAGCAGUGAAAUGCGUAGAUAUCAAGUGGAACACCAGUGGCGAAGGCGAGUCUCUGGACAUUUCCUGACGCUGAGGCACGAAAGCCAGGGGGGCAAACGGG